GCUCCGAUGGCCCAGAUUCGCUUCCGGUGUAAGUAGAAGAACUACUUUUCGUUAGCAGUGCGUCAGCGGAGAGACGGAGGAGCGCGAUGUGGCCGCGGGGUUAUUUCAGAGAGAUUAAAGGCGAUCAGCUGGAUUCAUGAUGAAGAUGAAGAUGAAGAUGUGUGCGCUGUUUGUGAUCCUCGCUCUCGCGUCCCAGCAUGCAUCAGGGGUGGAGGUGUUUGAGGGGGAGGAGUCUGUCCUGCUGCCCUGUAACAUGAAUGUUUCUAAGGAUCAUGCGAUUGUGUGGAAACGCGAAGAUCUGUCUUCUCCGAUCGUUCACGCCGUCGUGGAGGGAAAAGAUGAUCUUAUCAACCAAAACAAGCGUUACUCCAACCGAACAUCAAUGCUCCCCGACGCCCUGCAGACUGGAGACCUCAUCAACCAAAACGAGCGUUACUCCAACCAAACAUCAAUGUCCGCCGACGCCCUGCAGACUGGAGACCUCAUCAACCAAAACAAGCGUUACUCCAACCGAACAUCAAUGCUCGGCCUGCAGACCAGAGACCUCAGCCUCACUCUGAGGAAGCCCACGUUCACCGACAGUGGGAACUACACCUGUGUCACCCGCAGCCAUGGAGCGGACCAGCAGAGGACUGACGUCCAGCUGAAGGUCAAAGGUCAGUGCUGCAGGUUCAGGUCAAAGGUCACACUGAAUCAUAUCACACGCAUUCAGAAAGAUAAAGUUCAGUAGCAUGAAAUAUUUCACGUAUGUGAACACGUUCGGUUACACAGAAGAGGCUUACGCAGGUUUGUGUUUCCGUGGAAACCUUAACGAGUAUGUCAUCGCUGACAUCAGCUUCAGACCCUCACUCCAGCUGUGGAGCUGACCCUGAUGAGGUCAAAGGUCAGGUCCAGAGAGGAUGGAGUCACAGACAGAGGACGUCUGUGCUGCUUCAUGUUCUGUUUAGUGAUGAAGAACCAUCAGCAGCACAGACGCUGGUCACUGACUGGUUAAACAGGUCUGUGUGGUUCAGCAGCGCUCAGCUAGAAGGUCAAAUAGAAGACCAUGAUCAGAGGUCAGAGGUCGUACAGGAUGAUGUUCUGCUUCUUUGUGUUCC